rnacentral:rRNA from 1 species
AAGUCGUAACAAGGUCUCCGUAGGUGAACCUGCGGAGGGAUCAUUAAAGAGCAAGGGUCCUCGUGGCCCGAAACUCCCAACCCGUGAAUACGUACCUCUGUUGCUUUGGCAGGCCGAGGGCGAGCCCACCACCCGAGUCUCGGGCGGUGGGGGAGUCCCCACCGGUCGUGGUCACCCUCGCGGUGGUCUCGCCCGGCGAGCGCCCGCCGGAAGCCCCCACCAAAACCUAUCGAAACAGUGAAGUCUGAGCGAUAUAAUAAUAGCUAAAAACUUUCAACAACGGAUCUCUUGGUUCCAGCAUCGAUGAAGAACGCAGCGAAAUGCGAUAACUAAUGUGAAUUGCAGAAUUCAGUGAAUCAUCGAGUCUUUGAACGCACAUUGCGCCCUCUGGUAUUCCGGGGGGCAUGCCUGUCCGAGCGUCAUUACACCACUCAAGCUCUGCUUGGUAUUGGGAACUCGCCCCUCCACCGGGGCGUGCCCGAAAGCUAGCGGCGACGUGCCCGGCACCCAAGCGCAUUAAACAUACGUUCGCUUGAGGCUCGCCUGGCUCGUCAGCCGGUCAACCACCCAAUCUUCAAUGAUUGACCUCGGAUCAGGUAGGGAUACCCGCUGAACUUAAGCAUAUCAAUAAGCGGAGGAAAAGAAACCAACAGGGAUUGCCUCAGUAACGGCGAGUGAAGCGGCAACAGCUCAAAUUUGAAAUCUGGCCGCAAGGUCCGAGUUGUAAUUUGCAGAGGAUGCCUCGGGUGAGAUGCCGGUCUAUGUCCCCUGGAACGGGGCGUCACAGAGGGUGAUAAUCCCGUAUGUGAUCGGCCGUCGAUCCCGUGUGAGGCUCCUUCGACGAGUCGAGUUGUUUGGGAAUGCAGCUCAAAAUGGGUGGUAAAUUUCAUCUAAAGCUAAAUACCGGCUGGAGACCGAUAGCGCACAAGUAGAGUGAUCGAAAGAUGAAAAGCACUUUGGAAAGAGAGUUAAACAGCACGUGAAAUUGUUGAAAGGGAAGCGCUUGCAGCCAGACUCGCUCGCGGGUGAUCAACCGUCCCUCGGGGCGGUGCACUCUCCCGCGACCGGGCCAGCAUCGGUUUUGGCGGCCGGACAAAGGCCCAGGGAACGUAGCUCCUCUCGGGGAGUGUUAUAGCCCUGGGUGCAAUGCGGCCAGCCGGGACCGAGGACCGCGCUUUUGCUAGGAUGCUGGCGUAAUGGCUGUCAGCGAC